AGAAACAGGCAGCCUGACUAGAGAACAAACUACCAAUUAACGAGCGAGGAAACAGGGCCAGAGAAUUGGAACAAAAUACAAGGCUGCCUCUGAAAGGAAUAUCUUUGUGCUGAUGUGUCCAUCAAGAGAACAUACACAGAAGUGACACUUGCCAGUAAUUUGCAAGCAGAUGGAACUUCAAUAUGGCAAUAGAGAAAGAAUCAAUUAGACCAGAGUCUCCUCAGGAAGACUUUCUAUAGAUAUCUGGUGAGCAUCUGCUAGAUGCCAGGGUUGGGGAGAGUCAAGUUGAAGCAAGCAUGAACCCUCAAGGACCUACCAUUUCAAGGCAAGAAAUAGAUACAAAUACAGAAAAUAUUUACUGGAUAGCUACUAGACAUAAGGAUGCAGAAAUGAAUUAGAAAAAUUCCUCGCCCUUGUUCAAAGCUAUGCUGGCUCUUAGAACAUCUGAGCCCCCACUGUUUCAUCUUUAGAGGAUCCCAGCUGCUGGGGUGUGAGGCCAGUGCUGGAGCCAGCAGUCUCUGACCCAGAAGGGACCUGAGGUGCUAAAGAAAAUUCUGGAGGCUGAGAAGUCCAAAACCAAGUCACCAGCAGAUUCAGCGUCUGGGGUACAAGCUGGAAAAGGGGAAAAUGAAUCAUGCUACAGGCCAAGUGUCCAUCACUGAUUCCCAGAGAUGCCCUUUGUGUGGUAGGCACUUCCAUGUGGACUCGCUACAGAGGUCAUAAGACCCUAAUUCCAGAGGGCCCUACCCUAUAACCAGAAGGAAGAACUAUUGCACAGAGAAUCUAAGAAGAAUCUAGACAGACAGCCCUUGCUGGAUUUCUCCACUCUGUUAGCAUUCGAUCAUUUGCCUUUUGUCCAGUCAUAUUUCUGCAUGGCUGUCCAUACUUUGUUGAACCUAAGCACAAAAUGGAAAGUUUUCCCUGUAUCUUUGGGUCGUCAUUCUGAAGGCUCCCAUGUUAUGUAAAACUAUGAUCAAAUAAAUAUGCAUGCCUUUUCUCCUAUAA
rnacentral:lncRNA from 1 species